AAGAGUGAACAGCUAACUGGAAUCAUAAGUGUGUCACUUAUGAUAAGUUUGGGAAAAAUGAUGAUAUCACCCAUUAUCUUAUAGUGUUGUCCAAAGCUGAGCUAGAAUCAAAUAGAGGUCACCGUGAGAGAACUUCUAGAUUAGGGUUGAUAUCUGUAUAAACUAGAAGGAAUUCUAAUUAGCGAAGGCACUUUUCCAUCUAAUGAUUGACGCUGAUAAACGAAGGGGAGGAUCGACAAUAGGAUUA
rnacentral:rRNA from 1 species